rnacentral:rRNA from 1 species
GACGAACGCUGGCGGCGUGCUUAACACAUGCAAGUCGAACGAAGAGCGAUGGAAGCUUGCUUCUAUCAAUCUUAGUGGCGAACGGGUGAGUAACGCGUAAUCAACCUGCCCUUCAGAGGGGGACAACAGUUGGAAACGACUGCUAAUACCGCAUACGAUCUAAUCUCGGCAUCGAGGAUAGAUGAAAGGUGGCCUCUACAUGUAAGCUAUCACUGAAGGAGGGGAUUGCGUCUGAUUAGCUAGUUGGAGGGGUAACGGCCCACCAAGGCGAUGAUCAGUAGCCGGUCUGAGAGGAUGAACGGCCACAUUGGGACUGAGACACGGCCCAGACUCCUACGGGAGGCAGCAGUGGGGAAUCUUCCGCAAUGGACGAAAGUCUGACGGAGCAACGCCGCGUGAGCGAUGACGGCCUUCGGGUUGUAAAGCUCUGAUAAUCGGGACGAAAGGCCUUCUUGCGAAUAGUGAGAAGGAUUGACGGUACCGGAAUAGAAAGCCACGGCUAACUACGUG